GACGAACGCUGGCGGCGUGCUUAACACAUGCAAGUCGAACGGUAAGGCCCUUCGGGGUACACGAGUGGCGAACGGGUGAGUAACACGUGGGUGAUCUGCCCUGCACUUCGGGAUAAGCCUGGGAAACUGGGUCUAAUACCGGAUAGGACUCCGGACUGCAUGGUCUGGGGUGGCAAGCUUUUGCGGUGUGGGAUGGGCCCGCGGCCUGUCAGCUUGUGGGUGGGGUGAUGGCCUACCAAGGCGCCGACUGGUAGCCGGCCUGAGAGGGUGACCGGCCACACUGGGACUGAGAUACGGCCCAGACUCCUACGGGAGGCAGCAGUGGGGAAUAUUGCACAAUGGGCGCAAGCCUGAUGCAGCGACGCCGCGUGAGGGAUGACGGCCCUCGGGUUGUAAACCUCUUUCAGCAUCGACGAAGCGAAAGUGACGGUAGGUGCAGAAGAAGGACCGGCCAACUACGUGCCAGCCGCCGCCGUAA
rnacentral:rRNA from 1 species